CCUUCUAAGUGAGAAGUCUGACGGAGCACGCCGCGUGAGUGAUGAAGGUUUUCGGAUCGUAAAGCUCUGUUGUUAGGGAAGAACAAGUGCCGUUCAAAUAGGGCGGCACCUUGACGGUACCUAACCAGAAAGCCACGGCUAACUACGUGCCAGCAGCCGCGGUAAUACGUAGGUGGCAAGCGUUGUCCGGAAUUAUUGGGCGUAAAGGGCUCGCAGGCGGUUUCUUAAGUCUGAUGUGAAAGCCCCCGGCUCAACCGGGGAGGGUCAUUGGAAACUGGGGAACUUGAGUGCAGAAGAGGAGAGUGGAAUUCCACGUGUAGCGGUGAAAUGCGUAGAGAUGUGGAGGAACACCAGUGGCGAAGGCGACUCUCUGGUCUGUAACUGACGCUGAGGAGCGAAAGCGUGGGGAGCGAACAGGAUUAGAUACCCUGGUAGUCCACGCCGUAAACGAUGAGUGCUAAGUGUUAGGGGGUUUCCGCCCCUUAGUGCUGCAGCUAACGCAUUAAGCACUCCGCCUUGGG
rnacentral:rRNA from 1 species